rnacentral:rRNA from 1 species
CAGUAGCCACGGUAAAACGUAGGGUGCAAGCGUUAAUCGGAAUUACUGGGCGUAAAGCGUGCGCAGGCGGUUAUAUAAGACAGAUGUGAAAUCCCCGGGCUCAACCUGGGAACUGCAUUUGUGACUGUAUAGCUAGAGUACGGCAGAGGGGGAUGGAAUUCCGCGUGUAGCAGUGAAAUGCGUAGAUAUGCGGAGGAACACCGAUGGCGAAGGCAAUCCCCUGGGCCUGUACUGACGCUCAUGCACGAAAGCGUGGGGAGCAAACAGGAUUAGAUACCCGAGUAGUCCCUGUCUCUUAUAC